rnacentral:rRNA from 1 species
AACGAACGCUGGCGGCAUGCCUAACACAUGCAAGUCGAACGAGACCUUCGGGUCUAGUGGCGCACGGGUGCGUAACGCGUGGGAACCUGCCCUUAGGUUCGGAAUAACUCCCCGAAAGGGGUGCUAAUACCGGAUAAUGUCUUCGGACCAAAGAUUUAUCGCCUUUGGAUGGGCCCGCGUUGUAUUAGCUAGUUGGUAGGGUAAAAGCCUACCAAGGCGACGAUCCAUAGCUGGUCUGAGAGGAUGAUCAGCCACACUGGGACUGAGACACGGCCCAGACUCGUAAGGGAGGCAGCAGUGGGGAAUAUUGGACAAUGGGAGAAAGACUGAGCCAGCAAUGCCGCGUGAGUGAUGAAGGCCUUAGGGUUGUAAAGCUCUUUUACCCGGGAUGAUAAUGACAGUACAGGGAGAAUAAGCUCCGGCUAACUCCGUG